CCAGACUCCCAAGAGCCAGGUGAUGGUCUGGGAGCGAGGAGAGGGGGUGGGAGGAACCAGAACCCAGCACCCAAGCCCAGGAAGCAGUCGCAAACCGGGGCCCGGGGGCGCAGCAAAGGGAAGCGGAAGCCCGGCCGUGGCAGCCGAGGAGGGAAACGGAAGAAGCCGGGCCCGGGAGGACCGGGUGCGAGCCGGAAACCCGCCGGGAAGGGCCGAGGCGGGGGAGCCGGGCCGGGGAGGGCCGAGGCGGCGCCCGGAGCUCGGGCCGAGAGCUCGGGCUGGAGCCGCAGCCGGCGGAGGCUCGGUUCGCUCAGGCCUGUGCGUGCGGGACCCGGGGUCCGCGGUCGUGGACCAGGUGACGGAUGGUUUUAUAUAUUAUGAAUAAAGCUGGCAUGUUUCUGUUUCUCCUGGGGAAAUACCUAGAAGAAAACAUGCUGGGUAAUAGGUACAGGGCAAGAAGAAAUUGCAGAAGAAAUUUUUUAAGAAGAGAGACAUAAAAAAAUGGAUGCCUGUCCCUGCUCCCCCUACAAACACAUAAAAUGCCAUCUAAACUAUAACAAAAUGUCUUAAAAAUGGUCAAGUUUGAGAGAAAAGAAAAAAGGAAAAUUCUGCAUCCAGAAACAAAGAGCUGAAUCAAAACAGUGCAUGUAAAGGUAACCUUGAGCCGACGCCUCAGAAACCCCAAAGAGAUUUUAAUCCCACAUGUAAUGCUUAAGAGUCCUGACUGAGGUCUGGGGUUCUACUUUCUACACAGGAACAGGGGGCAGAGAGCUGAAACUAAGAUGCUGCUUAGUUCUAUAAAAUAUUUCUAGAAAAAUGCUACUCACUGGCCCAAAGAGAUGAGGGAACUUGCAGUCUCUGGGUUUUUUUAGGGGUGUUGUGAGAGUGAGGAACUCACCCAUGAGACUUGGAAACUCUAGGACUUUACCUGGAAAUGUGGGAUAUAAAUAUUCAAUUUUAUACGACAUGGGUGAUAUAGAAAUUCUAAGCUAAGAAAUUAACUUAAAAACUGGCCCAGAAAAAUAUAUACAUAAGUAUAAGAAAGUUGGCAUUGCUAUAGUAAUAUCAGACAGUAGACCUCAAGUCAAUGUGUAUUACAAAAGAUAGAGAUGUAACAUAAUCAAAAAAGCGAUUCAUUAGGAAUGUGUAUGCAUAUAUCUGUUCAUCAGGAAUAUGUAUGCUGCUAUGAACUCAUUAUGAGAGCAUUAAAUUUCAUGAAGCAAAAACUGUGAGAACAAAAGAGAGAAAUAGACAAUCCACAAUUACAGUUGGAAAUCCAUAAUCAUAUCUCAGUAAUUGAUAGAACUUAUAGGCAGAGUAUGCAGUAGUAUACAGAAGAUGUUAACAACACAGUCAGUCAACAUGACCUAAUUGAUGUUUACAGAAGACUACAUGCCACAACUGAGAAAUUACAUUUGUUUCCUCUACAUGGACAUUCUCCAAGACGGACACUGUUUGAGACAAUAAAAUAAAUCUCAAUAAAUUUCAAAAGAUUGAAAUAUUA